ensembl:lncRNA DLEU1 deleted in lymphocytic leukemia 1
GGCAACCCGCUGGGGUCCCCUUCCACACUGUGGAAGCUUUGUUCUUUCGCUCUUUGCAAUAAAUCUUGCUACUGCUCACUCUUUGGGUCCACACUGCUUUUAUGAGCUGUAACUUACCGUGAAGGUCUGCAGCUUCACUCCUGAAGCCAGCGAGACCACAAGCCCACCGGGAGGAAAGAACAACUCUAGAUGCGCGGCCUUAAGAGCUGUAAUACUCACCUGGAAGGUCUGCAGCUUCACUCCUGAGCCAGCGAGACCACGAACCCCACCAGAAGGAAGAAACUCCGAACACAUCCGAACAUCAGAAGGAACAAACUCCAGACGCGCCAUCUUAAGAGCUGUAACACUCACGGCGAGGGUCCACGGCUUCAUUCUUGAAGUCAGUGAGACCAAGAACCCACCAAUUCCGGACACAAUGUGACUAGUUCUUGCCAAUGCAAUGUGAGCAAAGCAGUGUGUCAUUUCUAGGCCAAGGCAGGAGUGGGGUUUAAUCUGGACUGAAUUGGAGGAAAGGAACUGGCACCAGAGUGGAGGCUGGAAGGAUGGUGGAACUGACACUGGGACAGAACACAGAAAACAGAAUCUAAUGCUAGAACUGUCCCCACCACCACUGGCUAAGGGGUCUGAUGGAUAUCAUGGAGAGCCCCCAGAGAUGUGAGGUUGUUUUUCAGAUCCUAGAAUUGGAGAUAGAAGGAAGACAAGAGAAGACCAAUGAGCUUGACCUGUGAAAUUCAAGAGUAGAGGUUGCUCUGGCUAUAUCAAAUAAAAGUGUCAAGAGUGAGCAUCCUUGCCUUGUGCUGAAUCACAAAGGAAUACCUUUCAGUUUUUCUCCAUUGAUUAUGAUAGCAGUGGGCUUUUCACAGUGGGCUUUACUGUGUUGAGUGCCUUUCACCUUCUGCCAUGAUUGUGAGGCUUCGCUAGCUACGUGGAACUGUAUGGGUAACUGCACUGGCUAUUGAGAGAUCAAAUGAUAUGCACCUUCAGGAACUCUUCCAGCAAGAGCUACUCAGUGAGGAGACAUUCAUCAUUAGCACAUUCAGAAAUUAUAGCUCUGAUAUGUUUUCUGGGUGGCCGGAUGCAAAGGAUCAUCCAUAGUUAUGAAAACUCAAGAACAGGGAAGUCAAUUAGUAUAUUUAUAAAUCUGUAUUCCUCUCCUGUCAAGGAAUCUCCCUGUAUAUGAAUGAUAGCUGUGUCCUUGAUUUGAGUAACUCUUUUUCCUAAUCAAAAGAAACUCAAAUGAACAGGCCCAUAUGUCUUAUCAGAACAAACUAUCCUGUAAUAAAAUGGAAAGAGGUUUUGAAA